GAUAUCCCUACCAUAAGGUAAUAAGACCCCUUAGAGAGUAUGAGGUAGAUAGGAAUGGUGUGUAAGAGCAGUAAUGCUCUCAGCUGACAUUUACUAAUAGGUCGAAGGCUUAUCCUG
rnacentral:rRNA from 1 species